rnacentral:rRNA from 1 species
GCCGACGGCAGCACGGGUGCUUGCACCUGGUGGCGAGUGGCGAACGGGUGAGUAAUGCGUCGGAACGUACCGAGUAAUGGGGGAUAACGCAGCGAAAGUUGUGCUAAUACCGCAUACGCCCUGAGGGGGAAAGUGGGGGACCGCAAGGCCUCACGUUAUUCGAGCGGCCGACGUCUGAUUAGCUAGUUGGUGGGGUAAAGGCCUACCAAGGCGACGAUCAGUAGCGGGUCUGAGAGGAUGAUCCGCCACACUGGGACUGAGACACGGCCCAGACUCCUACGGGAGGCAGCAGUGGGGAAUUUUGGACAAUGGGGGCAACCCUGAUCCAGCCAUUCCGCGUGAGUGAAGAAGGCCUUCGGGUUGUAAAGCUCUUUCAGCUGGAACGAAACGGUACGCGCUAACAUCGUGUGCUAAUGACGGUACCGGCAGAAGAAGCACCGGCUAACUACGUGCCAGCAGCCGCGGUAAUACGUAGGGUGCGAGCGUUAAUCGGAAUUACUGGGCGUAAAGCGUGCGCAGGCGGAUUGUUAAGCAAGACGUGAAAUCCCCGGGCUUAACCUGGGAAUGGCGUUUUGAACUGGCAGUCUAGAGUGCGUCAGAGGGGGGUGGAAUUCCACGUGUAGCAGUG